rnacentral:lncRNA from 1 species
CAGCAACAAGAACAAAGGAAGAACAAAGGGAAAAACAAGAAAAACCUAGGUGAAAAUUUAAGGAAACAAGCUAGGUAAGUUAGAAUUUCUUUAAUUCUCCUUGAUACCUAGCUUACCCAUGCUUUUGUUCUUGAUUUUCAUGGUUGAAUAUUGAGUUAUCAUGAUGAAUUCAAUUCUGAAAAAUGGGUAUGGAAGAGGAAUUGUUGUUGGAAUAAUUUGAUUUUAGACUAUGUUAGUGUUUAGGGAUAGUUAAGCAUGGUUAUGAACAAAAACACAAAAGAAAUAUUCAAUUUCUCUAGGGUUCCUUGUUGGCCGAACCAUGAGGGCUGAAUAUCAAUGGGGGAUUGUUUUUAUUUCAAGGAAAAUGGCAUGGAAAAUGAUGAAUUAAGGUGAAACGGUUAUGUAAAAAAAAAUUCGAUGCUAGUGCACCAAAUGACCAAAUUUUUCUAUAAGGAAUUGUGAGGGUUCUAAUGCUGAAUUUGGCUUUAUUUAAAUGUAUGUGGUAAAUUAAGGUAUUAGAGGAGAAAUGAAUUAAUUUGGAGGUGAUUUGGACACAAUCGCCGAUUAAUCGGGUGAUCGGUCGAAUUUAAUCGAUACCGUGAUUAAGCGGUAAUCGGGCAUAUUUGUGCAUUUACAUAUCAAGCAUUAGUAGUUUAAAUUAAUUUAUAUCAAUUUAGGGACAAUAUAGUAAAUUCCUUGACUUUGUUAUUUGUCAAGGUGGUGAGACGUCCGGAAAAGGCAAAGGAAUUGCGCUUGAGGGCUAUUAGUCCGAGUGCACCCGAAAUCUGGAUUUUCGAUACCGGUGAGUGGACUUGCAUUUCAAACUUGUUUUGGGGAAUAUGAAAGAUUCUAUCCAACUUGUCUUAGAAAAUGUACCUUGGGAACAAGCUUUUGUUAAAUGGUUUGAUGUUGUGAUAUGUGAUUGCUAUAGAUUCAUGCAUUAUUGCAAUAUGCUGAUAUAUAUAUAUAUGUGUGUGUGUGUGUGUGUGUGUGUGUGUGUGUGUGUUGUGCAUGAUGAAUGAUAUUGUGUAUAAUGACUGUAAACGUGUGUGUGCACGAUGUGGGGGGAUGCACAUGCCGGUGAUGAUGGUGGCGUGAGAGAUGGAUGAUGAUAGUGUCCGUGUGCACAAUGUGGGGGGAUGUACACGAUGGGACUGAUGUGCACGAUGUGGGGGGAUACACACGAUGGUGCCGGCUAUGUGCACGAUGUGGGGGGAUGUACAUGAGCCGGGUGUGAUUAUGAUGAUAUUGAUGUUUAUCUAUCUAAUUAUGCAUAUCUAGACUUAUGAAAUGAAAGCUCAUGAAUGUGAUAUAUGGUUGACAUAUAUGUGAAAUUUGAUACAUUGCACUUUGAGAAUUUGCAUGAGUUUUAUGUUGAUUUUGUUAGUUUAGUAAGAUGGCCUUUUUGUUGAGUGAAGGGAAACUUUUCUCUUGUUGCUCUGUUUCACUACAGCGAAAUUCAUUCUCGCUACAACGAGAAACUCUCGAGUUUGAGGGCCUUCACCAGAACUGGUUCUCGCUACAACGAGAAACUUUCUGUCCAUUUUACUAACUUGUGGGUUUUUGCCAUAUUUCCUAUUUCUUUGGUACCAUAGUUGAGCAUGGAUUUUUGUAAAGUGAUUUACUCAUAUGGGGUUUACAUGAGGGGUUUAAAAGAGCUAAAACAAUUACAUGGUUUGAGAAAAUGAAUGCAUCAUGAUUUCGAUAAACAUUCCUUACGGUAUGUUUGUUCCCUUCUUGUUCACUCACUGAGUAUUGUACUCACGUUUUAUAAAAAUUCAUAUUUUCAGAUCAGGUGACUGUUGGACCCUAGAUCGAGGAGUCCCCGUAGUGUAUCUCUUGGGUAUGUGUCUGGCAUUCGAUAGUAAUCCCUUUUAUUGUAAAUGUCUCCGCUGGAAGUCAUGGGUCAUUUUGUAUUGUGAAUACAAUCUAACAAUGUGAAUAUGUGUAUGCAAUGUAAAUUACUAAAUACAUGACUGGUAUAGUGCAUGCAUAUUAUUAUCGAUAAUGCCAUUGUGUUUUGGCUAUGUUCACACUCGGGAAAAGGUGUGCGUGUAUGCAUGAUAUGAUAAAUUUGUUAAGUAAAGGUAAAUGGAUAGGCUUACUUGGGCUUAGUGAGCUAUGCUCAUUGAGCUCAUGCGCUGGUCAUGGCCUGGGAAAUUAAGUCGUGACAGAAACAAAGAGUUUAGAUUUUGGCAAACUAAUGACUAAACUAAAUGCUGCAGCAAACUCAAUAAGACAUUCCAUAACAACCUGCAUUUGCCCUGUAUCCGCUUGAGUAAAAAGAAGUAAAUCAUCCACAAAAAAUAAAUGUGAAAGUGUAAGGCCAGACCAAGAUGCUUUCGUUUGUCUUCCAUUUCUUCCUAUAAGCCCUCUCUUCUAUCAAGUAAGACAAUUUCUCCAUACACAAAACAAACAAAUAUGGGGAUAAAAAUUCACCUUGUUUUAAACCCCAUUGUGCAAAGAAAUACAGAGGACAUUCACCGUUAUAAAUUAAAGAUAGCUAGUUUAAAGUAACACAAAACAUAAUCAAAGUAAUCAAUUGUGAGGGAAAAUUAAAAUCAAUCAAAAUUUGCCUCAAAAAUUCCUAAUCCAUACUUUCAUAGAUUUAGUGUAAGUUAAUCUUCAUAAUCACACCCCCUUUCCUUUCUUUUCGUUUCAUAAAAGAAUGCACAACUUCCUAAGUAAUUACAAUAUUAUCACUAGUACUUCUGCUUGGGAGAAAACUACUUUAGAAUGGUCCUAUCGUCUCCUUAAAAAGAGGCUUUAAUCUAUUUACCAAAAGCUUCGUAAGAAGUUUAUACGAAGUAUUCAGUAAACUGAUAGGUCUAAAAUCCAUAAUUGUCAGUGGAUUUUCCCUCUUUAGAAUUAGAGUGAUGUAGGCCUUAAAAAAUCGAACAAGAAAAAACCAUCUACCAAAGCUUGAUUCACAAAGGAGCUAAUAUUAUUUUUUGACUACCUCCUAAUUUCUUUGCAAGAACAAAGGUUGGAUUUCAUCCGGCCCUAGUGCUUUAAGACCCUACAUAGAAAAAAAAGCUAUUCAAAUUUCCUCCAUACUAAAAGGCUUUAUAAGUUUUGCUUGACCAUUCAAUGACAUCAUAAGCUACCAUCAAUUGUAUCUUUUCUACUAAAAAGUGAAACAUAAAAAGAGACAACAUGUUCCUUUAACAUUGUCGGAUCCAUCUCUUAAUGAUCAUUCACCAUUAAUGCAACCACUCUACUCCUUGUUUAUUUUACCACUGUCGAAAAUAUGAUAGAAUUUGGUGUUUUGCUCCCCAUCUCGAAUCCAUUAUGAUUUGGACUUUUGAUACUAUAGUAGUUCUUCUUGAUACAAAACUAGUUGAUAUUCAUGUUGAAUAUCCGCCUCUACCUUUUGUAAAAAUAAAGACUAAUCAUAUAAGGUACUAUGUUGGAUGCCAGCUAUCCUUGACACCAACUUUCUUUUUUUAUGAUAGAUGACUCCAAAAUGGUCAUAACUCUAUUUUUUUAAUGCAAAAGUAAUUAAAGCAAUGGAUUGAAGCAAUUAAUCACCAAACUCCUAAGCUAAAUUGAAUACAUUGUCAAAAUGCUGAUGAGUCAACCAAGCUGCUUGAAUCUAAAUGGUUUAUUCUCUUUAAGAGGUGGAUUUGUCAUGUCCAAGUGAAAGAGAACUGGAUGAUGGUCUAAACUUAAAUGCAAGAGAUUCACAACCCUUGCUUUAAGUAAUUUUUUUGAGCUAAAGGGUUCAUUAGUUAUCCAACCUUUCUUGAAUUAUAACUCUUCCAUUUACCUUACGAGACCAAGUGAAUUUAGCACCAAUAACACCUAUAUCUGAUAGACUACAAGCAUCCCAUUUAUCCAUGAAUUACCGAGCUCUGUUAACACAGAAUCUAGAUUCUCCACUUUUCUCUUCACAUUAAGCAAUAUCAUUAAAAUCACCUAGCACCACCCACGAUGGAUUUACGGUUGUAGAAAACCUCCUCAGCUCAUUCCAAAAAAUAUCUUUCCAUUAUCAAUGAGGUUAUACAUAAACAUGGGACAACACCAAACUCAAAUUCAAAUCUUAUAUCAACAAGUGGACAGCUUGAUUAUUCAACUAAAGGCUUUGUAUUUUAAUUCUAUCCCAUUUCCAAAGUACAGGAAACCACCUGCAAAAUCCGAAGAUAAUACCACAAACGAAUAAUCAAAACCCAACUUUUUAGCAAAAUCCAAAGCCAAACUCUCCUUAUUACAUUUAGUUUCAAGAAGAACAAUAACAUUAAGGACAUAAGUUCUUAUUAAAUCUUUACAAUUUUAAAGGCAUUUUUUGUUCAAAAUGACUCUGCAAUUCCAUGAAAUUAUCUUCAUAUCAAAUUGAAUGGAUUAGUUUACCUGUUAAACAAGCUUUUUUUUUUUUUAAGUUCAAACCAAAUCGAAUCAUCUUCUCUCUUAUGGAAAACUUUUAUCAUGGUUUCAUACGAGUCUUUAUGCUCUUUUUGGAUACUACCUCUCAUCUUAAGACUUUGUUCAAGGGAGUCCAUAUGAUGAGCAAGACCAAUAGGAGGUAAAAAUCUAAGGUCUAACUGAAGAGUUGUAUUGUGUCCCAAAUUCAUCACCAUUAUUCCUAAACCCAAUGUCAUCUUGAAAGGCCCAUGGUAAGGGUUUCUACUUGAAUUGCCAAUUAAGAAUAAGCCUAUUUGUUUUAACCAAUUCAUUAUUCUACUUAACAAUAUUCUCUCUCUUAGCCAACUUUGGUAGAUUCUUUUCCACUAAAAUUGAGUCCAUCGAAUUAUUCUUUCCCUCUUUAGCUACCUUCAAGGACUUAGCCACAAUCGCUAUAAAAUUUCCCAUAUUCCUUGCCAAUUCAUGGAGAAUUUAUUCAACAAAUGGCUCAUUGUUUUGACUAGUUAAAGGGUCAUUAUCAAUUUCAGCAAAUUCCUCCCUUAAAAUAUAAAAAAUGAUAUACAAAAUAUCUUUUUUUACUAGCACCCGAUUUAUUGCUUUUAUUCCCUGAUCCCUAUCAAGAUUUCUUUUGUACCAUCAUCCAUGAACCAUAAUUAAUAGUGUUACAGGUAUCACCGUUUACCUUUGUUGCUUCGAUUAUCGUUGGACCUCUUUUCUUUGCAGCUAUUGUGUCGCCACUUAGAUACUCAUUAUCCACACCAACGUUUUGUAAUGGACAGUUGUCCAUUCUGUGCCGAAUAACUCCACAUUGAAACCAAACUAUGUAAAUAGCUUCAUAUUCUACCUUCUGCAUCGAGUCUCCAAUUUUGAUCUUAGGGAUCAAAGGUUUUGCAUGAUCAAUUUCAACACAAAUUCUCACAAAUUUCCCCUGUGUCACCAAGUUUGUGUUGGCAUCAAGCUAGUAACGGUUUACCAAGGAGCCUACCAAUCUUCAUUAACACUUCUUCAUUGAAAAUAUUCGAUCGACAACUCUAGCAACCUGAUCCAAAUUAUAGUCAAACCUAAAGAAAUAGUACAAAGCUUGAAAUUUGGCUUCCAUGUUUGAACAAGCAGAUAGUGACCUAAUAUUUUCCAGGGAUUCCCUAUGAACCUUGAUCAUGUCAUGGUUUUGAUCAAACUUGACUAUAUAGUAACCAAGACCUAAGUCAAUCAUUUCAAAAUCACCAUCCCAACACCAUAACUUAAUGAUUCGGCUAUGAAGAGCAUUAAAAGCCAAAGACUUACCCAGCAGUUUGAUUAUUAAAGUGGAACACCAUGGUUGUCGAAUCUCUUUCUUUUUUCCUUAUUGAAACAGAUUCGUGGAAUUUUAUCUUAUUCUUCACCAUUCACCAUAUCAUCAUCAUCAACCCAUUCUUGUUCUAGAUUAAAUGUAAUUUUGUCAAUAUUAUCCAUGGCAGUAGCACUAUGACCAUAUUUUUUUCCCUUACAAAAUAGUCUGUUUGAAAGUUUUUUGUGUUGGAUCAUUACUACACCCCUUUUUUGCUUAUUCUCUUCCUGACUUAAUCCUUUUUGUACUUUGUUCAAAGUGAUCAACUUCCUUUGGAAACAAUGGCUUUUUCAUCAGUUUUUAGAAAAAAACGAUCUCUUGAUAGCAUAUACUUUAAUUAUUAUUUUUUAUUUUUAAUAAAUAUCAAAUUUACAAAUUUGAACUUCAAAUUUUUUAAAACAUAUUUUUUUGAUAUUCUAAAUUUAUAUAAUAUAAUAAUCAAAAUUAAAUUCAUUUGAUAAAAAAAUCAAAUAAAAACAAAAAAAUAUAAUAAGAAGAGUAAUACAUUUUUAUAAUAAUGAACAAUAUUACUAAGGUAAUUUUGUUUUUUGGCAUUGAUAUUAAUAAGAUAAGAAACUGUUCAUUAAAGAAAACACUAAGAAAAUGCAUUAACGACUUUAUGACAAAUAAAGGUUUUUCUAUAAAAGAAGGAUUUGCUUUUUUUGACAGUCCACUGACUGGAGCUUGAAAUUUGAUGAUGAAUAUGUGAUAGGUGUUUGUUUCCAUUAGAUUAUAAAAUUUUAUUUUCUAAAAAAAAAAAACUAAUCUAUAACCUUAUAUAAAAGGAAGUUCUGAUGGAGCUCUUAGAUAGUGCCACAUGGACACAUCAGCAAGGGAAUGCUGCACGUCAAAAGAAGUGAUCAAGUUUUUCACGUGGAGCCAUCAAGAGAGAGUUGUUAUGGAAUUUAUCCUUGGGCGGGCUGCAUCUUUGGUGGCCUAUAUGGGUGGUGGGUUGCAAAUGGCAAGAUUUGCCAGGUCAAUUCUAUUAGUAAUAAUAACUAAGUAUUGUUAUAUGAGGGUUUUUUUCUUUCAACUUAUUUAUGUGAGGUUUCAAGACUUUCCUUAGUUGGUUAUUGGCCAAAACAAA